GAUGAACGCUGGCGGCGUGCCUAAUACAUGCAAGUCGAACGAAGAUGUUCUUGUGUUUACACGAGAGCUCUUAGUGGCGGACGGGUGAGUAACGCGUAGGUGACCUGCCCUAAAGAAGGGAACAACCUCGGGAAACUGAGGCUAAUACCCUAUGUGCUUAUAGAGAUUAGAUGCUUUAUAAGUAAAGGUUCUGUGGACGAAAGGCCACAGUAUCGCUUUAGGAGGGGCCUGCGUCCCAUCAGCUAGUUGGUAGGGUAAUGGCCUACCAAGGCAGUGACGGGUAGGGGACCUGAGAGGGUGACCCCCCACACUAGCACUGAAACACGGGCUAGACACCUACGGGUGGCAGCAGUAGGGAAUCUUGCACAAUCGACGAAAGUCUGAUGCAGCAACGCCGCGUGUGCGAUGAAGGCCUUCGGGUUGUAAAGCACUUUUCUGAGGGAAGAGAAAGGACG
rnacentral:rRNA from 1 species